rnacentral:rRNA from 1 species
CCUACGGGGUGCAGCAGUGGGGAAUAUUGGACAAUGGGGGGAACCCUGAUCCAGCCAUGCCGCGUGUGUGAAGAAGGCCCUCGGGUUGUAAAGCACUUUCAGUGAGGAAGAACGCCUGGUGGUUAAUACCCAUCAGGAAAGACAUCACUCACAGAAGAAGCACCGGCUAACUCCGUGCCAGCAGCCGCGGUAAUACGGAGGGUGCGAGCGUUAAUCGGAAUUACUGGGCGUAAAGCGCGCGUAGGUGGCUUGAUAAGCCGGUUGUGAAAGCCCCGGGCUCAACCUGGGAACGGCAUCCGGAACUGUCAAGCUAGAGUGCAGGAGAGGAAGGUAGAAUUCCCGGUGUAGCGGUGAAAUGCGUAGAGAUCGGGAGGAAUACCAGUGGCGAAGGCGGCCUUCUGGACUGACACUGACACUGAGGUGCGAAAGCGUGGGUAGCAAACAGGAUUAGAUACCCCUGUAGUC